UACGAAGGGGGCUAGCGUUGCUCGGAAUCACUGGGCGUAAAGGGCGCGUAGGCGGGAUGGCAAGUCAGUCGUGAAAUCUCUCGGCUCAACCGAGAAACGUCGGCUGAUACUGCCGUUCUUGAGGGAUGCAGAGGAGACUGGAAUUCCCGGUGUAGCGGUGAAAUGUGUAGAGAUCGGGAGGAACACCGGUGGCGAAGGCGGGUCUCUGGGCAUUUCCUGACGCUGAGGCGCGAAAGCUAGGGGAGCAAACAGG
rnacentral:rRNA from 1 species